GGGUGGGCUGCAUGAGGACUCCAAGACUCCCUUGCCUCUUUUCUUUGAAUCCAGGGAUAUCCUUAACCUACUUCUCCCCAGGGAUUCACCACUGCCCUUCUAGUAGUUCCCAUUAUUAAUCAUUGGUUCUCUGUCACAGAACCUGUUCAUUUCCUUCAUAGCACUUUUGAUAACUUGUAAAUAUGUGCGUGUGUUGUGUGUAUGUGUGUAUGUAUGUAAAGCAUAUAUAGAAUAAGCCUAUGAAGUAAAUAAAUACAUUUAAAUGUUUAUAAAUAUGUAAGAUCUAUGGCAGAUGUAAAGUAUAUACGUGUAUAUGUCUAAGCAAUACAUACAAAAAACACCCUAUGUAUGAAUGUGCAUGUGUGUUUCCUGGUUUCAUUUUAUCUUUCCCUCUGCAGGUUUCCUUGACCCUGACGUGCUUCACACUAAACACCCCAGCUAACGCAGAGCCUGGCACAUAGUACGUUCCUCCAAAGACAAUCCUGUUCACUAUGGAAGACAUUGAAACCUCCAGUGAUUGGAGCUUGGGGCCUUCUCCAAAAAGCAGUCAUUUACCUUUGUUUUUGCUCUAUCUACAAAAAAAUGUUCAUUGGCUCAUUCCUGAAGUCAACUUUGAUCCAACUAUGGUCAUCAGCUACUAGACCCUAUGAUACAUCUGUAAAAUGUUAAAAUAAACAUGUAUUUAAAAGAU